UCAAAUAGCAAGCUCUGAGCCUUUUAGA
rnacentral:piRNA from 1 species